UACAGUCAUAUCAUGUUGAAACAUUGGUUCCUGUACGAUCACCAAAGUUAAGCAAUGUCAAACCUGUUCAGUACUGAGAUGGGUGACCACUUGAGAAUACCACGUGCUGUAAG